rnacentral:rRNA from 1 species
UGCUUCUCCGCCGGUCGAGGACAACCGACCCCUCGCGUCCCGAGGCUAAACGACGUCCCGGUGUUACCUCCCUGGAGGCACACGUUAAAGAUCGUUCCGCAUUGUGAGUCUUGACACCAGCUGUACAAUUUUUUACAACCGGUGGCGUUGGAUCCCUUGGCACGUCAUUCGAUGAAGACCGUUGCAAAUUGCGAUAAAGUGAUGUGAUGCGCAAGUCCACCACUUAUACGUGAAUCAUCGAGUUGUUGAACGCACUGCACCGCGCCCUAACCCGGCUGCGGUAUGCCCCUUUGAGCGUCAUUGCUACCCUUCGGGAGUCUUUCCUUGGGAAGACCCGAGUUCGGAGUCCUCGGUCCUCGGAUCGUGUUCUCUCAGAUCCAUCGCGCCGAUCGUCCGGUAGGUCCUCUAAUGCCUGAGCGUGGAGAGCCUCUGGAGUUUUGAGCGGCGUUUGACCGCGUGGCGAGCGCUGGUCACCAAGUCCGCACGGCCUAGCCGUCGGUGCUACAACUCAUGACCUCAUUGGGGUAGGACAACCCGCUAGACUUAAGCAUAUUAAUCAGCGGAGGAAAAGAAACUAACCAGGAUCCCCUCAGUA